AUUGAACGCUGGCGGCAGGCCUAACACAUGCAAGUCGAACGAGUGGCGGACGGGUGAGUAAUGUCUGGGAAACUGCCCGAUGGAGGGGGAUAACGACUGGAAACGGUAGCUAAUACCGCAUACCAUCGGAUGUGCCCAGAUGGGAUUAGCUAGUAGGUGGGGUAACGGCUCACCAAGGCGACGAUCUCUAGCUGGUCUGAGAGGAUGACCAGCCACACUGGGACUGAGACACGGUCCAGACUCCUACGGGAGGCAGCAGUGGGGAAUAUUGCGCAAUGGGCGCAAGCCUGAUGCAGCCAUGCCGCGUGUAUGAAGAAGGCCUUCGGGUUGUAAAGUACUUUCAGUGAGGAGGCGUUACUCACAGAAGAAGCACCGGCUAACUCCGUGCCAGCAGCCGCGGUAAUUC
rnacentral:rRNA from 1 species